GGUGAACUAUGCCUGGACGGGGCGAAGCCAGAGGAAGCUCCAGCGGCGGUCCAUAGUGGUCCUGACAUGCAAAUUGGUCGUCCGACCUGGGUAUAUGGGGCGAGAAACCUCAGAAACC
rnacentral:ncRNA from 1 species